rfam:Schizosaccharomyces japonicus yFS275 unplaced genomic scaffold supercont5.16, whole genome shotgun sequence.
GGCCAGUUGGCCGAGCGGUCUAUGGCGCAGCACUCAAGUUAUCCUUGGACUUGUCCCAACAAGUCUUGCUGUAUCGUAAGAUGCGAGGGUUCGAAUCCCUCACUGGUCA